CAUUGGAAAGGGCGGAGCGGACAGAUGGGAGCUUGCUCCCUGAUGUUAGCGGCGGACGGGUGAGUAACACGUGGGUAACCUGCCUGUAAGACUGGGAUAACUCCGGGAAACCGGGGCUAAUACCGGAUGCUUGAUUGAACCGCAUGGUUCAAUUAUAAAAGGUGGCUUUUAGCUACCACUUACAGAUGGACCCGCGGCGCAUUAGCUAGUUGGGGAGGUAACGGUUCACCAAGGCAACGAUGCGUAGCCGACCUGAAAGGGGGAUCGGCCACACUGGGACUGAAACACGGCCCAAACUCCUACGGGAGGCAGCAGUAGGGAAUCUUCCGCAAUGGACGAAAGUCUGACGGAGCAACGCCGCGUGAGUGAUGAAGGUUUUCGGAUCGUAAAACUCUGUUGUUAGGGAAGAACAAGUACCGUUCAAAUAGGGCGGACCUUGACGGAACCUAACCAGAAAGCCACGGCUAACUACGCCCACCAGCCGCGGUAAUACGUAGGUGGCAAGCGUUGUCCGGAAUUAUUGGGCGUAAAGCGCGCGCAGGCGGUUUCUUAAGCUGAUGUGAAAGCCCCCGGCUCACCCGGGGAGGGCCAUUGCAAACUGGGGAACUUGAGUGCAAAAGAGGAAAGUGCAAUUCCACGUGUAGCGUGGAAAUGCUUAGAGAUGUGGAGGAACCCCAUGCCGAUGGCAACUCUCUGCCUGUAAUUGACGCUAACGCGCGAAAGCGUGGGAACCGAACACGAUUAGAUACCCUGGUAGUCCACGCCGAAAACGAUGAGUGCUAGCGUUAAGGGUUUC
rnacentral:rRNA from 2 species